rnacentral:rRNA from 1 species
AGUGAACGCUGGCGGUAGGCCUAACACAUGCAAGUCGAACGGCAGCACAGUAAGAGCUUGCUCUUACGGGUGGCGAGUGGCGGACGGGUGAGGAAUACAUCGGAAUCUACUUUUUCGUGGGGGAUAACGUAGGGAAACUUACGCUAAUACCGCAUACGACCUACGGGUGAAAGCAGGGGAUCUUCGGACCUCGCGCGAUUGAAUGAGCCGAUGUCGGAUUAGCUAGUUGGCGGGGUAAAGGCCCACCAAGGCGACGAUCCGUAGCUGGUCUGAGAGGAUGAUCAGCCACACUGGAACUGAGACACGGUCCAGACUCCUACGGGAGGCAGAAGUGGGGAAUAUUGGACAAGGGGCGCAAGCCUGAUCCAGCCAUACCGCGUGGGUGAAGAAGGCCUUCGGUUUGUAAAGCCCUUUUGUUGGGAAAGAAAAGCAGCAGGUUAAUACCCCGCUGUUCUGACGGGACCAAAGAAUAAGCACCGGCUAACUUCGUG